AGGAGGAGGCAUGGAGAAAGGAUACUUUGGAGGACACCUCCUGUGGACUGCAUGGUCCCACCCUCUCUGAGAUUACACAGGCCUCACUUCACAUGAAUCCCCAUGAAGAAGACACACAUCUGACAAACAUUUCUGACUCACUGAGACAGAAACUGAAUUACAUAAAGCAGGGCUUAGGUUACCACAUGCGAAUGAAUCAACAAUUUGGCCGAAAUAACUUUGACACUCCACCUGGUGAGAGUAGGGUGGUGAAGAAGACCUGGCCAGCUAAAAGGGACCUAGGUCCAUGUCAUCCAUCAGCUUGACAUGGAAGAUGCUGUGCCAAGCUUUCUCAUUAUCCUGUCUCUGAGUGUCUAAUCAGUGUCCAGCAUGUGAUUAUGUCCUCAGAGGGAAGAAGAGUGUGCUUCCCUAUUCCUUCCAGCUGAAGACAAGCAGGAUGGCUGGGGCUGGAGCAACCCUGUUGGAUCAGGAGACAGAAGCUACAGUUGAAGUUGGCAGAGCAGUUGGGCUGAGGAAGCCUGUGUCUAGGAGUCUGGAAAGCUGCCACAGCCCAGUACUCAGGAUCCAGACCGUUACAUGCGGGAGAACACAUUUUUAUCUUGUUGAGCCACAGUUUGGGUUUGUCACAGCAGCUGAACAAAGGUCCUAGUAAUAGAAAUAAGAUAGCCAAACCAUAAAUAAAGCCUAGUCAAAGUC